rnacentral:rRNA from 1 species
UGGGGAAUAUUGCACAAUGGGCGCAAGCCUGAUGCAGCAACGCCGCGUGAACGAUGAAGGUCUUCGGAUCGUAAAGUUCUGUUGCAGGGGAAGAUAAUGACGGUACCCUGUGAGGAAGCCCCGGCUAAUUACGUGCCAGCAGCCGCGGUAAUACGUAGGGGGCUAGCGUUAUCCGGAUUUACUGGGCGUAAAGGGUGCGUAGGUGGUCCUUCAAGUCGGUGGUUAAAGGCUACGGCUCAACCGUAGUAAGCCGCCGAAACUGGAGGACUUGAGUGCAGGAGAGGAAAGUGGAAUUCCCAGUGUAGCGGUGAAAUGCGUAGAUAUUGGGAGGAACACCAGUAGCGAAGGCGGCUUUCUGGACAGCAACUGAAUCUGAGGCACGAAAGCGUGGGUAGCAAACAGG